rnacentral:rRNA from 1 species
AAAUGAAUAGACGGGGACCCGCACAAGCGGUGGAUGAUGUGGAUUAAUUCGAUGCAACGCGAAGAACCUUACCUACCCUUGACAUGUCUGGAAUCCUGAAGAGAUUCGGGAGUGCCCGAAAGGGAAUCAGAGCACAGGUGCUGCAUGGCUGUCGUCAGCUCGUGUCGUGAGAUGUUGGGUUAAGUCCCGCAACGAGCGCAACCCUUGUCAUUAGUUGCUACGCAAGCGCACUCUAAUGAGACUGCCGGUGACAAACCGGAGGAAGGUGGGGAUGACGUCAAGUCCUCAUGGCCCUUAUGGGUAGGGCUUCACACGUCAUACAAUGGUCGGUACAGAGGGUUGCCAACCCGCGAGGGGGAGCUAAUCCCACAAAGCCGAUCGUAGUCCGGAUCGUAGUCUGCAACUCGACUACGUGAAGUAGGAAUCGCUAGUAAUCGCGGAUCAGCAUGUCGCGGUGAAUACGUUCCCGGGUCUUGUACACACCGCCCGU